AUUAAAAAUAUCUUUGUUUCCCCUCUCCCGACUGAGGUUGUUAGGGUAUGGGUAGGUAGGUAGGCAAAUUAUUUUAUUUUAUUCCUUGAUAUGGUUUUCUAUAUUGAAUUUGAACAAAAUUCAACAGGUAAGAUGGGUAAGACUCAAGUCAAGAAAAGUGGGGUAUUCCCUGUAUUCUAAUUCAGUGUACACCACAGUUUUCUGGUGUUAAAAAAAAACAGUAUACAGGGACCUUCUUUUUUUCCUAUUCAUUUAAUGUAAUGAAAUCUACAAAAGCACACAUUCUACUUGUGAUAACAAUGCUUAAUGAUAGAAAGUGUUUUUUUAGUUAAAAAA
rnacentral:lncRNA from 1 species